GUGGGGAGUGAGUCCGGGAGGGGAGGGCCACCGGUCCUGGGGCCACAGCCAGUGAGGGUCUGGGGUCCCCACUCGGAUCCGCAGGCAGAGAAUCUGAAUAAAGCCUCCCCAGUGCUGGGAUUACAGCUGUGUGCCACCACACCUGGGCUGAACCGUAGGUCCUGAUUCUGUGUCUGGUGAGAGUGCAGCCCGGGACCUGAUGGCGUGCUGAGGAGUCCGAACCGCAGAAGUCUGAACAGAUCUGACAUGCCUGACUUUGUGAGCCUUUAUUUUUUCUUCUUCAAACCUCCAGAAGAAGCAGAGUGUGGCACUGUGUGUCUGUAAUCCCAGCACUCAGGAGGCUGAGGCAGGAGGAUCACUGAGAGUUCAACACCAGCCU